AGACUUUCGCUUUGCACAAACAUCUUCUCUGAGUGAUCCAGCACCUCCUGCAGCUCUGGCAAACUCUGGGUCAGCCUGGAGUCCCUCGGAGCUGGAGCUGAGGUCAGAGAAGCCCAGGACAGCCAUGAAGCCGUGGGUCCUCGCGCCUAACCACCACAGUUAAGAAUUCUGAUACGUUACCAAACCGCCACCCAGAAAGGAUAUUGCAAUUUGGACUUCUACAAGAAAUCAGAAACAGUAAAGAACAGCCUAGCUGCCUGCAGGAGUGACUGAGGCUCUGAAGUCCAGAGCUUUGCGGAGUUGUCACUUGGGAGAGUAAACCUCCAAUGGUCUGCCGGUGUAGUGAGCAUAGCAACCUGAAUCAUUGUAAAUCAUAUUUGCAAGGCGGAUGGAUCAAUCUAUUGAAAGCUGAGCCCAGAACUCUGUCAGGAUUCGAGUGACACUCCUCAAGGCCAAGGGGAUUUGGACUGAAGGAUUCCGGAGAUCGCGUGGUGAGGCCGCUUGGAGUUUGCCUUGCAGGGGAGCCCCCAGCACCAAGCAUCUGCCAGCAAAGAGCCCACCUGGACCUUGGAAAACUGUGUUCUCUCUUCCCUGGUGUCCCACUGAGCCACUGACUUCUCCAGGGGUCAUUCAGAUUCUAAUCGGAACCCUUGAAGCAGCCAUUUCUUCCUGUGCUGCGGAAGCUGAACUUGCUAAAAGAAGCUAGGAUUGGUCCCCUGGUGAUCUUGGCCAGUUCUUAGACAAAGAGGCUAUAGCCAGGUCCUUAGGCAGAGUCUUGAGCCAGUACAGGUUCAUGCUUCCCAGCGGGAAUGGAUUUCUUUUCAGACAUACCCCUUAGAAACUGGUUUAUCUGGAGCUCUGUCACUUGUGCUAUACUGCCUGGGUGGAGGGAAAGACCACAGGGAAGGCUGUGGCUGUGCCGGGCAGGGAGACCUCACAGCUAUUGUGCUCCAUGGAACAGCCCAGACCCAGCCACCCUGCACGGAUGUUUUGUUUAGUCAAGGCUGGCUGUAUUAUUGUAACUUGUGUUUGGUGGGAGGGCGAUGUUGGGAGACGAUGGGAGGGGAGAGGCAUCUUAUUGCUGUCUGGGUGGGUUGGAGCUGGUAGGAGCUUGUGCCACUCUCUUCCGCUCUAUCUCUUUGUCCUCGGGAUCCUCUGAUGAUUCUAAGAGAAGCCGUGAAAGGUCAACCUCAGGCUGUUGAAAACACACGCCUUGAGGUUAUCCGACAGCCUAAGCUGUACCCUACCAGAUGGGAAAGGUGCGCUGUUGUUGGGAUCAUCUGAAGGCUGCCCCUUCAAGUGCCAGGGUAGCUAGCUGUGCAGCAAGGCUCAGAGUUAAAACGAGCUCGGCAGAAGACAUAGGAAGCCAUUGUCUGGUUGGAUUUUCUGGCCCAUUAAGAAGUCUGGUCUGUAACCUUGAAGACAGGAUGUGACCCCCACAUAAGUUCCUCACCUUGAUGACCCACAUGUAUCCAUGGGUCCAUCACAGUGCUCCCCAGAGCUUGGCUCUCACUGGGACUGAGCAUGAAAGAGUUGAUCUUUGAAUGUGUUCUCACCAUAGCCACAUAGGAAGAGUGUCGCAUCUCCUGCUCGGCACCUCUCUGGCAGUUCCCCUGAAUCUCUGUAGGUCAGAGGGCAGGAAUCCACUUGCCAACGCACAGGUACCAGGCUAUGUGCGUCUACAUGCGGAGAAGGUCAGGCUUCCCCACAAAGUACCCUGCUGGUUGUAAAAGAUGGAAUUUGCUGUUGAAGUCACAGUUUGCAAUCUUGAUGUUCAUGCCAGCCUCUGAGGGUUUGUCUGCCUUAAAGGCUGUCAGGACAGUGCACUUCUGGUGACAGCAUGCACAUUAGACACUACUAUUGGAAUUUGCUUCAGACCUCUGUUUUCUCUCCCACUGCCACGAGGCACCGGGUACUCAAAUACCUCUCUUCCACUAGCAGGUUUUAUAACAAGGCUGGUUUCCCAGUGUGGAUCACUUGGAAUAUUCCACUCUGUUGGGAUUGUUGGAGCCUUGCAUCCUUAACUCACAGGAUGUUCUCUGGAUGGUAGAGACGUGCUUUGCAGUGAGGAUUCGAUGGGUGGACAUGACCGCCGCUGGCUUAUCUUGGCUGAGGAUCUUCAGCAGCUGCCUGUAUGGGGGGUCUCUCUCUCUCUCUCAAGCAGAUAUGGCUGAGAGGCCCUGCAGCUUGUCCAGACCUGCCAGUGGGCCUCAGACUCAAGGCACAGGGUGGGGUGGGGUGGGGAGGUGGUGGUGGUGGGGGGUGAGCUUAAGUUUGAGAAAGGCGUGCACUUGUUUCAAGUCAUCUCAGGUGAGAGCCGAAGUUUCACCUGAUGACGUUAUCUUUAUAGUGGAAAUAAACACACUGCUGGACCAAAAAAAAAAAAAAAAUUUUUUUUUAAAUAAUUUGCAAAGGAAAAAGUGAUUAAAAGAAAAGAAGUGAAAAGCAUAAAAGAUUAAAAUUAGGGAGGGCAAAAAGGAGCAGCAAACCAGACCCAGUCAGGACUCACAGGUGUUUGGGAUCAUAAAAUGACAGACAGUUUCAUAUAAAGUCACUUGCAUGGCAAGGCUGGGGGUAGGCAGUAAUAGAAUUCUCAGCUAGCCCCUUUGCUUAAGGGAAACUACACAGGGUCCCAAAGAGCUUUUGUUUUUAUGUGGGUUCUAAUUACCAAUACUUUAUUAGAAAUGAUACCCUAUAAGAUUCCUCAACAGCCUUCUCAUCUCCAGCUUGCAUGGACUCGAACUGUUUGGCUUUUUUUUUUUUUAGAGCUUUAUUAGAGCAACUUCGCUUAAGACUCUAAACGUGGGUUUCAGAGCGGUGCCACAAUUUAACCGGCCUUGGGACAAAAAUGACACAGUAAGUCACUUUAGUGUCAGCCUAAGCGCGGAGGGGACGGUCUCAGUCUGCUCAGGUUCUUUGGAGUAGAUUCUCUCUUCUGGAGAACUCUAGAACCUCCUGGGUCAGUCUCAGCAUCUUCAAUUGAAGCUAAAUGCAAAGGAGAGAAAUCUUGUGGCCUCAGCUGCCCGGAGGCUGCCCCUGUGUCAUU